rnacentral:rRNA from 1 species
AUGGUAGUCGCGAAAAAUGGAGACAUUUUUCUUCAGUUUGGCUGGACUACACACAGGUGUUGCAUGGCUGUCGUCAGCUCGUGUCGUGAGAUGUUGGGUUAAGUCCCGCAACGAGCGCAACCCUUAUUCUUAUUUGCCAGCGGGUAAUGCCGGGAACUAUAGGAAAACUGCCGGUGCUAAGCCGGAGGAAGGUGGGGAUGAGGUCAAGUCAUCAUGGCCCUUAUGAGUUGGGCUACA